rnacentral:rRNA from 1 species
CCUACGGGAGGCAGCAGUGGGGAAUUUUAGACAAUGGGGGCAACCCUGAUCUAGCCAUGCCGCGUGAGUGAUGAAGGCCUUAGGGUCGUAAAGCUCUUUCGCCUGUGAUGAUAAUGACAGUAGCAGGUAAAGAAACCCCGGCUAACUCCGUGCCAGCAGCCGCGGUAA